rnacentral:rRNA from 1 species
CCUACGGGAGGCAGCAGUGGGGAAUUUUGGACAAUGGGCGAAAGCCUGAUCCAGCAAUGCCGCGUGAGUGAAGAAGGCCUUCGGGUUGUAAAGCUCUUUUGUCAGGGAAGAAACGGUGAAAGCUAAUAUCUUUUGCUAAUGACGGUACCUGAAGAAUAAGCACCGGCUAACUACGUGCCAGCAGCCGCGGUAAUACGUAGGGUGCAAGCGUUAAUCGGAAUUACUGGGCGUAAAGCGUGCGCAGGCGGUUUUGUAAGUCUGAUGUGAAAUCCCCGGGCUCAACCUGGGAAUUGCAUUGGAGACUGCAAGGCUAGAAUCUGGCAGAGGGGGGUAGAAUUCCACGUGUAGCAGUGAAAUGCGUAGAUAUGUGGAGGAACACCGAUGGCGAAGGCAGCCCCCUGGGUCAAGAUUGACGCUCAUGCACGAAAGCGUGGGGAGCAAACAGGAUUAGAUACCCUGGUAGUCCACGCCCUAAACGAUGUCUACUAGUUGUCGGGUCUUAAUUGACUUGGUAACGCAGCUAACGCGUGAAGUAGACCGCCUGGGGAGUACGGUCGCAAGNUUAAAACCNAAGUGAAGUUGACGNUAGAGACGAGACGACGGACGACGACGAGGGAGGAG